AUUGAACGCUGGCGGCAGGCCUAACACAUGCAAGUCGAGCGAGAGGCGGACGGGUGGGCAAUGUAUGGGGAUCUGCGCGCGAGAGGGGGAUAACUACUGGAAACGGUGGCUAAUACCGCAUACUAUAGGCUAGACCCAUAUGGGAUUAGCGAGUAGGUGGGGUAAAGGCUCACCAAGGCGACGAGCUCUAGCGGGUCUGAGAGGAGGAUCAGCCACACUGGGACUGAGACACGGUCCAGACUCCUACGGGAGGCAGCAGUGGGGAAUAUUGGACAAUGGGCGCAAGCCUGAUGCAGCCAUGCCGCGUGUAUGAAGAAGGUCUUCGGAUUGUAAAGUACUUUAAGCUGGGAGGCGUUACCAGCAGAAGAAGCACCGGCUAACUCCGUGCCAGCAGCCGCGGUAAUAC
rnacentral:rRNA from 1 species